GCCUUGAACGAUUUUGAAAUCAUCUCUUUUCUUCUAGCUGGUCUAGGAUCUGAAUAUGUUUCCUUUGUUACAUCUAUGACCACAUUAGUGGAUCCUCUCACUGUUGAAGAAUUAUAUGGGCAUCUGUUUCAUG